GGCUGAUCAAGCAAUUUUAGAUCGUUUAGAUGCUCCAACUAAAGCUCCAAAUUGGCCUGUUGGUGCUGAAGGCAACCGGCCUCCUGCAAAGAUUCCUGUUCCACUUCCGCCAUCACAUUCUAUCAAGAUUGAAAAGACAUUGAGUCGGCCUGAAAAACUGAGCCCUCAGGGUCAUAUCCUUGAGACAGCUAUUGAAGCAGCAGCUACUGAAGUUGUAAAUCUCAGGGAUAAUUUGAAUGAGUGGGACAAUAAAGUUGGUGAUGGCGAUUGUGGUUCAACUAUGUUCAGAGGUGCUGUGGCUAUACUUGAAGACAUGAAGAAGUACUAUCCGUUGAAUGACCCUGCAGAAACAGUCAAUGAAAUUGGAGCCUCCAUUGGAAGAGUAAUGGGGGGAACUAGCGGUAUCUUAUACAGUAUAUUCUGUAAGGCAGCAUAUGCGAAGUUGAAAGAAAAUGCUGAGUCGGUUGUCACAGCUAUUCACUGGGCUGAUGCACUUGAAGCUGCUAUCGCUGCUGUUAGUAAAUAUGGAGGAGCUAGUGCUGGUUAUCGUACCCUUUUAGAUGCUCUUAUACCAGCAUUGUCAGCUCUUAAAGAGAGGUUGAAUGCUGGGGACGACCCUGCGGAUGCUUUCAUUAUUUCUGCUGAGGCAGCAUCUGCUGGAGCCGAGUCAACCAAGCACAUGCAGGCGCAGGCUGGCCGUUCAACCUAUGUACCCGGAGAUAUUCUUGCAUCAGUUCCUGACCCAGGUGCCAUGGCUGCAGCUGCGUGGUACAGAGCAGCUGCGUUAGCUGUGAAGGAGAAGUAUAAUACAGCAUAAGCAUAUUUAAUCGGCCAUUCCUAUUACUUCCUGCAGGAAUGUUUUCUCUUUCUCGAGGAAGAAAUUAACCCAACAAUUUUUUGCUCGUAAACCUUAUGAGGAGUUAGCUUUCCGCUUAUGCAGUCCUGCAUAAAGCCGAGAGAGUGUAGAAAAUGUAUGUUACAGUCCUUUUAUACAGUGUUCUAAG
rnacentral:misc_RNA from 1 species